AUCAGCUGCCCACCUCCAGGACCCAGAUGGAGAUGUUGCCAUUGCGUGACUACAUUAUGGGUCUCAGUGAAGAGGAAUGGGAUUCAUUUUCUGAUGCUAUGACCAACCCUGUGACAAAGGCAUAUUUCCUUGAGGUGUGCUUGAUCUUAGCCAAACACAUUAACUUGAGUGCGCUUCAGAUCGUCAUGCCAAACCUUGCCAGGAGGCUAGGAGACGACCCAGGGUUUUUGAUGGUAUCAGACGAGAGCCAUGGCUAUGGAAACGUUAUCGGCACUGGGCCAAAAACCCCAUCAAUCGUCCCUAAAGCAGG